AACGAACGCUGGCGGCAGGCCUAACACAUGCAAGUCGAGCGCCCCGCAAGGGGAGCGGCGGACGGGUGAGUAACGCGUGGGAAUAUGCCCUUUGCUACGGAAUAGUCUCGGGAAACUGGGGGUAAUACCGUAUACGCCCUUUGGGGGAAAGAUUUAUCGGCGAAGGAUUAGCCCGCGUUGGAUUAGGUAGUUGGUGGGGUAAUGGCCUACCAAGCCGACGAUCCAUAGCUGGUUUGAGAGGAUGAUCAGCCACACUGGGACUGAGACACGGCCCAGACUCCUACGGGAGGCAGCAGUGGGGAAUCUUAGACAAUGGGGGCAACCCUGAUCGAGCCAUGCCGCGUGAGUGAUGAAGGCCUUAGGGUUGUAAAGCUCUUUCAGCUGGGAAGAUAAUGACGGUACCAGCAGAAGAGGCCCCGGCUAACUCCGUG
rnacentral:rRNA from 1 species